rnacentral:rRNA from 1 species
UAGUCGGAGGUGUGUCUCGGACGGUCGGUUCGCCGCUUGUCGGUGCUCAACUGGCCGGUCCGGACGUCCUGCCGGUGGGGCCGCGAGGCUCCGUUAUCCUUCUUUGGUCCUCUUCACUGAGUGCCUUGGUGGGCCGGCACGUUUACUUUGAACAAAUUAGAGUGCUCAAAGCAGGCCGUUGGUCGCCUGAAUACUGUGUGCAUGGAAUAAUGGAAUAGGACCUCGGUUCCAUUUUGUUGGUUUUCAGAACUCGAGGUAAUGAUUAAUAGGGACGGACGGGGGCAUUCGUAUUGCGACGUUAGAGGUGAAAUUCUUGGAUCGUCGCAAGACGAACCGAUGCGAAAGCAUUUGCCAAGAACGUUUUCGUUGAUCAAGAACGAAAGUUAGAGGUUCGAAGGCGAUCAGAUACCGCCCUAGUUCUAACCAUAAACGAUGCCAGCUAGCCAUCCGCCGAAGUUCCUUCUAUGACUCGGCGGGCAGCUUCCGGGAAACCAAAGCUCUUGGGUUCCGGGGGAAGUAU